AGAGUUUGAUCCUGGCUCAGGACGAACGCUGGCGGCGUGCUUAACACAUGCAAGUGGAGCGACGAACCAGGGCUUGCCCUGGGGCAGAGCCGCGAACGGGUGAGUAACACGUGGGCAACCUGCCCCGAUGACUGGGACAACCCGAGGAAACUCGGGCUAAUACCGGAUGUGCUCUCUCACAUCAGUGAGAUGAGUAAAGGAAGCUUCGGCCUCCGCAUUGGGAUGGGCCCGCGGCCCAUUAGCUUGUUGGUGGGGUAAUGGCCUACCAAGGCAACGAUGGGUAGCUGGUCUGAGAGGACGAUCAGCCACACUGGGACUGAGACACGGCCCAGACUCCUACGGGAGGCAGCAGUGGGGAAUCUUGCACAAUGCGCGAAAGCGUGAUGCAGCAACGCCGCGUGAGGGAAGACGGCCUUCGGGUUGUAAACCUCUUUCAGUUGGGACGAAGGUCGGGCGGUUAAUAGCCGUUCCGGCUGACGGUACCUUCACAAGAAGCCCCGGCUAACUACGUGCCAGCAGCCGCGGUAAUACGUAGGGGGCAAGCGUUGUCCGGAAUCAUUGGGCGUAAAGAGCGUGUAGGCGGCUUGAUAAGUCGGCUGUGAAAGUCAGGGGCUCAACCCUUGAAUGCCGGCCGAUACUGUCAAGCUAGAGUCCGGAAGAGGCGAGUGGAAUUCCUGGUGUAGCGGUGAAAUGCGCAGAUAUCAGGAGGAACACCAAUGGCGAAGGCAGCUCGCUGGGACGGUACUGACGCUGAGACGCGAAAGCGUGGGGAGCAAACAGGAUUAGAUACCCUAGUAGUCC
rnacentral:rRNA from 1 species